rnacentral:rRNA from 1 species
UACGUAGGGGGCAAGCGUUAUCCGGAUUUACUGGGUGUAAAGGGAGCGUAGACGGCGCGGCAAGUCUGAAGUGAAAGGCAGGGGCUUAACCCCUGAACUGCUUUGAAAACUGCCAUGCUAGAGUGCUGGAGAGGUAAGUGGAACUCCAUGUGUAGCGGUGGAAUGCGUAGAUAUAUGGAAGAACACCAGUGGCGAAGGCGGCUCUCUGGUCUGCAACUGACGCUGAGGCUCGAAAGCAUGGGUAGCAAACAGG